AAUAAUAUCCAAUCAUGGAGCGAGCAAACCUGAUCCUUGGUGCUAUCCACGCCUGUAGGAAGGGCAGCAUCGCCCUGCAGCGCUUUAUGCUUUGUAUCCAUCGCCACUGGAAAUCCUCCCUGACAUUUACUCCAGGGGAAACUUCUCCAUGUGUACAAAGCUACCUGAUCUCCUCCUGCUGGCAAUCAUCAGACACACCUGAGACAGCAGUAUUUAAACCCCCGGCUCAUCGCUGCCAGUUUAUCCCAGUCUCCUGUCGUGUGCUUUGCCAACCAGCCAGCAGCUCACCUCAUUGGAUACCGUCUCCCUCCGAACAGUCAGUCCUGCCACAUCCCUCCUCCACGCUCACUUCCUCCAGCCUCAAGUGGUUCGUCAGACAGCCGCUCUCCUCCUCGAGAUUCCUGCCACCUGCCACAGCUUUCCCCCCUGGAUUCCCUCUCCAGGCUCCACUCAUGCAAUGAACCAAUUUUAACUGUUGCUUCUCUGUCAGCGUUCCACAUCUGGGUCCAGAAAUUACCUAACAAUCUGCGCUAACAGUACCCUGAAUGCUGCGAAUUCUAAAAGCACUAAGCACUAGAGAUGUGUGUAUUACUCUCUGUCAUAUUUUACAGGGUUUGAUCAUUACAUGCAUUUGUCUUUAUACCUCAAUGGUAGCAUAGCAACAGACCUGUUGUGCACCAUGCUGCAGUUUUCCUUCACACACAGCAAAGGUACAUUCACCCAACUGUUCAAGCAUGGGGAAAAUAUAUGUAUAGUAAAGAGAUUUAAGUGCAGCUUUAACAAACAAACUGAGUUUUUAACAGAGUGCAGUGACCACAGUCUCACCCCUGUUUCUGUCAGGAGAUCAAACGCCGUCUGUCAGAGCAGCUUUAAGGGAGGAAAGAAAAUUAUCACGAAAAGAUUCAAACGGUCUGCCCUUUUUAUCUGUUCUCUCGUCACCCACACAUGCUACAUAUGGUUCUUUUUAAUGGGCAGAGCUGUAUCAUCUGCGGGUGUAAACACAGGAGCGGCUGGUGCAUCAGCAGCGGGAGUAAAAACUGUCAUCUCUGCUGGGCUGUGAGUCACUGUGUGUGAGUCACACACUCACACCGCCGUCAUGAUCAGCGCAACAAAUGUAUUGCCCCUGUGUCACACAAAGCAACAAUCAUUCAUUUGCUGGAAAUAAAUAACUCUGUGUUUUGUUUAGAUAGUUUGUAUCUGUGUGUGAUGUUGACAUAUGUUAAAUAUUUAAAGGUCUCUGAGUUCAGGAGUUGUUUACUGUAUGUCAGUGUAGAAUAUUCUGCCUGGGGCCAAAUGGGCUGCUGGGAUGCUGCAAGAAGCUCCUGAUGUUCCCAUUGUUUGUGCCUUAUGCUGUAAUAUGAACUGACCUUGGGUAAACUGUGUGGUAAUUUUAUUAACCACUAAUUUCUUUAAAUGUAUGCAAAGUGUCAUGUUCAAAUAAUGUAUUUAACUAGAGCCUCAAAGUCCUGAUUCUCUGGAGAAGUUUCUCUCUUUGUCCUGUAGGUAAUCCAGCUUUGACUGCAGGUCAUCAGGGAGCACCGGGUAUUAGAACCCGGAGAAGUGUGAAAUCAAACAGCACACCCAUGUGGCAGAGAAGCACACGAGCAUCAAGAUGUAUAGAAAAUAUGACUUGAUCGUGGCUUUUGUCUAGGAGCCCAGAUAGCUCAACUGAUUGAGCAGGUGACCCAUUAACAGGGCUGUAGUUCCCGAUGCAGUGGCCUGGGUUCAGUUGUUGCUCACAGCCCUUUGCUGCAGGUCUUCUCCCUAUUUUCCUGUCUGACUCUUUACUAACCUGUCUAAAAAAGGCCCAAAAAAUCCUGGAUCUUGUCCAACUAUUAUCUAUACACAGCUUAUUAAUCCUUAUUAGGGUCGUGGGGGGACCUACUGCCAAUUUAAGAAUCACCAUUGGUAAAAAUCCAGACAGCGUCAUUAAGGAGUACUUGGAUAAAGAUCUUGGUGAAAGUACAGAUAUGGAGAAAAUAGUUUUGGGAGUCUAUGCUGUCCAGCAAAUAUAAUAUAAAAUGUUAUAUUUUCCUGUAGGUAUGUCUGUAAAUAUAUGUAUGAAUGCGUGUAUGAAAAUCCUGAACAGGUCCAGUUGAUUCUGAUUUUGAAUCAAGGUAUGAAAAUAGAAAGAUCUAAGUGGCUUCAAAAGAGAGCUCAUUGUUUGGGAACAGAUGGCGAGAGCUUCAGUCACAAAGAUUGCUCAACUAGCUGUUGUUUCAAUAGGAAAAGGGACUAAAGUGACAUCUGCAUAUGAGAGACAUCAGUAAAUAGGGCUGGAAACCAUAGUCAACAGCACACAUCUGUGAUAUGUACAGAAAAUAGAGGAAAAAGUCUCCCUAAGGUGACUGAGCUUGUCAGUGCAUGAAAUGAUCAGACUUUCAGUGGACCGUUUCAUAGAGAGGAAACUGAAGUUCUAACCUUUAUUACAUAGAUGAAUGCACAUUUUAUAGUUCUGUGGUGUACAAACCACAUGCACCGCUUCAUAUAGAUGUGAAAAACAAGAAAUCUGAUCAUACAUAUUCUUGACCCCUACAGUGAAAGGAUCUACUGUCUCUGUUAUUCUGUGCUGGUAAUUUACUGGCAUGGUUCGGCUCCAUUUGUACCUUUGGAGUGAAGAGUUGCUGUAAGUCAAUAGCAGUUGUUCUGAGGGAUCAUCUUUAUCCUAUGAUUGUCCAAACACGUGUGGGAGACAAUGUUUUUCUGAUGGGAGUGUCUCUCCCAGGAUGACAGUAACUCCCAUCUACAGCAAAUAAAGAGUCACUGAAUGUU